rnacentral:lncRNA from 1 species
CGUUCGUCGCGGGGGCGGUUCGGGUUCGUCUCGUCCCGGCCUUACAGCUCCCGCCAUCGAGCGUGCCGGGCGCGUUCGCUUUAAAGCGCUCCUUCUGCAGCGAGUGCGUGCGGUACCGCAGCGGCAAGCGGUGCUUCUGGUCAGCCCUGCGCCUCGGUUUUGUGCGGGGCGAGCUGGGUAAACCGGCUGCGCCUAUUGAAAAGCCCUCUGCGUUUUAGUCUCUUGUUGAAACUUCACCAAGUGACCGGCAAAUGCGUUUCCGUGCUGCUGCUACAGAUCAGCACAUCCUCUUGCCACGUUGCUGAUCCCUUGCCCAGCUGAUGGUGUGGUCUCAAAAACAGUUGUGAUGGCCCAGGGCCCGGAGCAAGCAGCCGGCUGGGAGACGGGCUGGUAAGAGCUGCUGAGGAUAGCAGUCCUCUGAGCACAUCUCAGGGCUAUCUUCGACUGAAAUCAUUCUUACGAUUUGCACUUCACUCAUACAGACAAGAGUGUUUCAAAGUAAAUAUUGCCAGUCUGUUAAUGUUUCCCUAUAGGCUGAUUUUGUUUGGAGGAUGAACUUACGUGACACAUUUUAGGGUGUUCAAAGGUAGUUAAGUUAAUGUGAAAAGAACAGUAUAGAUGCCUAAUCAUUUUCAGAGUUGCUGAUGUAUCCUUGUGGUUUUCUUUGAGGGUGCUAAGGGGUUAUAAUAUAUUAGCAAUAGCUGGGGUUUCCAUUGCAGUAUUGUGGGGGGUGAAUUUCAGUGGUGAUGGCAGGUAGGCUUAAAGGACUGACAUUGUCCUGUGUGUUUGGCACUGACCAAAUCAAUAUUGUGUGCAGGUUGGGGAGUCAUACAACUUAAGUUGGAGACUGGUAGAACAGUACAGUGAGUUGCUCAGAGGCUGGAAAAACUGCCCCAUGGUGAGAGGCUGUGAGAUCUUAGAGAGCUUUAAGUAUUUUUUAUAGAAGAUUAUUG